GGUUGAUCCUGCCAGUAGUCAUAUGCUUGUCCCAAAGAUUAAGCCAUGCAUGUCUAAGUAUAAACCUUUAUACGGUGAAACUGCGAAUGGCUCAUUAUAUCAGUUAUAAUUUAUUUGAUGGUCUCUUUACUACUUGGAUAACCGUGGUAAUUCUAGAGCUAAUACAUGCAUAACGCCCGACUUCUGGAAGGGCUGUAUUUAUUAGAUAAGAAACCAAUGCUUUUGGUGAUUCAUAAUAACUUUGCGGAUCGUAUGGCCUUGCGCCGACGACGCUUCAUUCAAAUUUCUGCC
rnacentral:rRNA from 1 species